UGUGCACAGCGUCCUGACCCCGCCCUCCCUCCCUGCAGAGACCCCCGAGGGCGUGAUCCCGGGCAUCGUGGGCGCGGUGCUGGCCGCGCUGACGGGCGCCGUGUCCACCUUCAUCGCCUACCAGAAGAAGAAGCUCUGCUUCAAGGGCAACGAUCCCGCGACCGCCUAGGCCUCGUGGCCUCCUGACGUCAUGAUGGGCCCUGUUCUUACCCAAGAUGCAUCGCGCCCGGGGCCUCCUGACGUCAUGACGAGCCCUGUUCUAAUCCAGGAUGCAUCGCGCUCUGCAGAUCCGAUCAGAAAUCACCCUGCUGCCGGGUGCUGGGUGCUGAGUUUCUCUUGGCGAUUUCCCCUGCUAGACUGCCUUUUCGUUCCCUCCCCCCAGCGUGACUUCCGGGGUUAGCCCAGGCUAGAUCCGGACGCACGCUCAUCCUCCCGCCUCAGCUCUCGGAGUGCUGGGGGACUCGGUUGCUCUCGAAAGUAUAGUUGGUUGCGAUUCUGUAUCCAGGGCCGAUGAUUGGGACUUCCAGCCCCUGCGACCCUGAGGGAGGACUAAGACAACCGAGUCCUGACCCCGCCCCCGUGUCUCUAGUGCUUACUGUGCUCUUUGUUCUGUCCCUAGAGUCUCCUCCGGUCCCUGAUGGCGCUCGGAGCCGCCUGUGCUAGCGCAGGACUGUGCACCGAGCACUGCCGGCGUGGUAUUCGCGCCUUAGCUUAGUUAACGGAGGUUUGCGUGAGCGCUGCACACGGCCCGGGGCUGUCAGGACGGAAAUGGAAACGGAAAUAAACGUGUUUAACCCUAGAGGGUCUGAGCUCUGUGCGCGGGGGACCCUGGGAGCAGUGGGGUGUUUGCUGGCGCUGGUGCUGGGUACCUUGAGUGCUGGGUUCCUUGGGUGCUGGGACAAUGGGUGCUUGGUCCUGCAGGUGCUGGGUAGCGCG